GAAGGACACGGGAAGGUGAAGACGGGAAGGACACGGGAAGGUGAAGAUGGGAAGGUGAAGACGAGAAGGACACGGGAAGGUGAAGACGGGAAGGACACGGGAAGGUGAAGACGGGAAGGACACGGGAAGGUGAAGACGGGAAGGACACGGGAAGGUGAAGACGAGAAGGACACGGGAAGGUGAAGACGGGAAGGACACGGGAAGGUGAAGACGGGAAGGACACGGGAAGGUGAAGACGAGAAGGACACGGGAAGGUGAAGACGAGAAGGACACGGGAAGGUGAAGACGGGAAGGACACGGGAAGGUGAAGACGGGAAGGACACGGGAAGGACACGGGAAGGUGAAGACGGGAAGGACACGGGAAGGACACGGGAAGGUGAAGACGGGAAGGACACGGGAAGGUGAAGACGGGAAGGACACGGGAAGGUGAAGACGGGAAGGACACGGGAAGGUGAAGACGGGAAGGACACGGGAAGGUGAAGACGAGAAGGACACGGGAAGGUGAAGAUGGGAAGGACACGGGAAGGUGAAGACGAGAAGGACACGGGAAGGUGAAGAUGGGAAGGACACGGGAAGGUGAAGACGGGAAGGACACGGGAAGGUGAAGAUGGGAAGGACACGGGAAGGUGAAGACGGGAAGGACACGGGAAGGUGAAGACGAGAAGGACACGGGAAGGUGAAGAUGGGAAGGACACGGGAAGGUGAAGACGGGAAGGACACGGGAAGGUGAAGACGGGAAGGACACGGGAAGGUGAAGACGGGAAGGACACGGGAAGGUGAAGACGAGAAGGACACGGGAAGGUGAAGACGGGAAGGACACGGGAAGGUGAAGACGAGAAGGACACGGGAAGGUGAAGACGGGAAGGACACGGGAAGGUGAAGACGAGAAGGACACGGGAAGGUGAAGACGGGAAGGACACGGAGACGGAGUGAAAGUGUGUAAACAAAGCCUGUCAAACAUCUCCAAACUAAAAUGGAAAGAGGAACUAGAGUACUCGAUGUCUGCUCAGCUUUCUCUCACUUUAACUGUGAACUUUUAAUCAACAUUUGGAUCCUUAACGUUAAGAAAAAUUCACAUUAAAAUCACAAAACAUAUUUUCUGUGUUGUAGCUUAACUAGAUAACAGGCUAUAAAGGCCUGGGGAAAGUUGUCAUUUAAAUAAUACCAAAGGAAGUGGUGAACUUUAGGCUAACUGGUGAAUUUGCAAGACAGAUGACCAAGACAUAUGCGUACGGUUCUGCCUGCUCCCUCUCUCUCCCUUGUGCUGGCUCGCCUGGGGCGUAUUCAUUACGCCGAUUUUUGUUGCAAAACUUUUCUUAAAUGGAGCGAAAUGGGAAGUAACAUGUAACUCUUUUAAACUGUUGCAUUUUAUUUUUUUUAAGUAUAAAUACACUACAUGACCAAAAGUAUCUGGGCACCUGCUUGUUGAACAUCUCAUUCCAAAAUCAUGGGCAUUAACAUGGAGUUGGUCCCCCCUUUUGCUGCUAUAACAGCCUCCUCUCUUCUGGGAAGGAGUUCCAUUAGAUGUUGGAACGUUGCUGCAGGAACUUGCUUCCAUUCAGCCACAAGAGUAAGGAGGUCAGGCACUGAUGUUGGGCGAUUAGGCCUGGCUCGCAGUCGGUGUUCAAAUUCAUCCCAAAAGUGUUUGAUGGGGUUGAGGUCAGGCACUGAUGUUGGGCGAUUAGGCCUGGCUCACAGUCUGUGUUCCAAUUCAUCCCAAGGGUGUUUGAUGGGGUUGAGAUCAGGGCUCUGUGCAGGCCAGCAUUUGUGCACGGGGCAUUUGUUCUUUGUGGGCAUUGUCAUGCUGAAACCGGAAAGGGCCUUCACCAAACUAUUUCCACAAAGGUGGAAGCACAGAAUCAUCUAGAAUGUCAUUGUAAGCGGCAGCAUUAAGAUUUCCCUUCACUGGAACUAAGGGGCCCGAACCAUGAAAAACUGCCCCGCCAUUAUUCCUCCUCCACCAAACUUUACAGUUGGCACUAUGCCAUGAGGCAGGUAGCGUGUUCCUGGCAUCUGCCAAAUCCAGAUUUGUCUGUCGGACUGCCAGAUAGUGAAACGCGAUUAAUUUCCACUGCUCCAGAGUUCAAAGGCGGUGAGCUUUACAGCAGAUGCUUGGCAUUGCGCAUGCUGAUCUUAGGCUUGU